CAUUAAGAAGCUAUGAAUCAGCACUAGCCUUUUAAGCUAAAGAGAGAGGGAUUCCCCUCCUUAAUGA
rnacentral:tRNA from 1 species